rnacentral:lncRNA from 1 species
AGGGAGUCCUUUCUCUCCUGACUUUAGCGGUCCUGGGUAAAUAUUGAUUUGCCCCGAGUUUACCUUCUUACUGCCUGACCAUUUGCAGACUAAAGAACUAACCUCUGUGAAGACUUGAUUUCUGUGUUACUUUGGAGCCCUUUUCAUCCGUCCCCCCACUCCUUCCUCCCUCUAAGUGGCAUUGUAAAACUCAACAGUGACAAAGAGACGAAGUACGGUUCCAGGCUCCAAUUCACGGAGACUCUCGGAGACUCGGAGACUCGAGGGCAGUUUACAUACAGGUCAGACACGCUGGAGGCCAAGGUCAAGUUGAAAGUUGCUGUCUAGUCAGCGUGAGAAACUACAAUGAAAGCCCAGAGACAGAGCCGACUGCCCACCUCCCCUCG